GGGGCUGUACUUGGUUUUGACAGCAUUGGUCUUUGAAAGUGUAAGCAUGCCGUGCGUUGUGUAAUUAGCACGAUAAUAUGAAUACUCAACCGAUAAAUGGCGAAACUUCUUACGCCAUGGCUGCCUAAUCUAGGAUUAGACAGUCGUUAGGGCCGAGUUGAGCAGGCAGGCCUGAAGCCCCGCUCCUCCGCCGACUCAUCAAAACAAUUCGGGCUGCCGGUGGUGUAGGCUGUGCCACCCUCGAAAGAUGAUACAGCUAAGGUUAUAGUUGGUUUGUUUGGUUCCUGCUAUAGCCCGACAAUUAAUUCCAAAAUAAGCAUGUAGAAAGCUUUUGUGGAUGAUGUUUGGACAGGGGUUCGACUCCCCUCAGCUCCACGC
rnacentral:tmRNA from 1 species